UACGUAGGGUGCGAGCGUUAAUCGGAAUUACUGGGCGUAAAGCGUGCGCAGGCGGUUCGUUGUGUCGGCGGUGAAAGCCCCGGGCUUAACCUGGGAAUGGCCGUUGAAACUGGCGAACUGGAGUGUGGCAGAGGGGUGUGGAAUUCCCGGUGUAGUGGUGGAAUGCGUAGAUAUCGGGAGGAACAUCAGUGGCGAAAGCGGCACCCUGGCAUUAGCCUGACGCUCAUGUGCGAAAGCGUGGGGAGCGAACGGG
rnacentral:rRNA from 1 species